UGGGGAAUAUUGGACAAUGGGCGGAAGCCUGAUCCAGCAACGCCGCGUGAGGGAUGACGGCCUUCGGGUUGUAAACCUCUUUCAUCACCGACGAAGCCGUGAGGUGACGGUAGGUGGAGAAGAAGCACCGGCCAACUACGUGCCAGCAGCCGCGGUAAUACGUAGGGUGCGAGCGUUGUCCGGAAUUAUUGGGCGUAAAGGGCUCGUAGGCGGUUUGUCGCGUCGGGAGUGAAAACACCGGGCUUAACUCGGUGCUUGCUUUCGAUACGGGCAGACUAGAGGUAUUCAGGGGAGAACGGAAUUCCUGGUGUAGCGGUGAAAUGCGCAGAUAUCAGGAGGAACACCGGUGGCGAAGGCGGUUCUCUGGGAAUGUCCUGACGCUGAGGAGCGAAAGUGUGGGGAGCGAACAGG
rnacentral:rRNA from 1 species